rnacentral:rRNA from 1 species
UGCAGUCGAGCGACAGACGAGGAGCUUGCUCCUCUGACGUUAGCGGCGGACGGGUGAGUAACACGUGGAUAACCUACCUAUAAGACUGGGAUAACUUCGGGAAACCGGAGCUAAUACCGGAUAACAUGUUGAACCGCAUGGUUCAACAGUGAAAGACGGUCUUGCUGUCACUUAUAGAUGGAUCCGCGCCGCAUUAGCUAGUUGGUAAGGUAACGGCUUACCAAGGCAACGAUGCGUAGCCGACCUGAGAGGGUGAUCGGCCACACUGGAACUGAGACACGGUCCAGACUCCUACGGGAGGCAGCAGUAGGGAAUCUUCCGCAAUGGGCGAAAGCCUGACGGAGCAACGCCGCGUGAGUGAAGAAGGUCUUCGAUCGUAAAACUCUGUUAUUAGGGAAGAA